UGCCGCGAUCGAUGCGACGACAAUGCA
rnacentral:sRNA from 1 species